AACGAACGCUGGCGGCAGGCCUAACACAUGCAAGUCGAACGCCCCGCAAGGGGAGUGGCAGACGGGUGAGUAACGCGUGGGAACCUACCUUUCGGUGCGGAAUAACUCCGGGAAGCCGGAGCUAAUACCGCAUACGCCCUUCGGGGGAAAGAUUUAUCGCCGAUAGAUGGGCCCGCGUCGGAUUAGCUUGUUGGUGAGGUAACGGCUCACCUAGGCGACGAUCCGUAGCUGGUCUGAGAGGAUGAUCAGCCACACUGGGACUGAGACACGGCCCAGACUCCUACGGGAGGCAGCAGUGGGGAAUAUUGGACAAUGGGCGCAAGCCUGAUCCAGCCAUGCCGCGUGAGUGAGGAAGGCCUUAGGGUUGUAAAGCUCUUUUAGUGGGGACGAUAAUGACGGUACCCACAGAAUAAGCCCCGGCUAACUUCGUGCCAGCAGCCGCCGUAA
rnacentral:rRNA from 1 species